UUUGGCAAGGAGGUAGAUCCUUGGUACGGGUGAGGUCUUACUACUUAGCAACCACACAUAUCUCUUAUGAUGCAACUUAAACGGCAGAAUAAACAAGAUGGUAGGUUAAACAAGCUUUUUAGCUAACUUGACUGGAUAUGCAGCCACGGGAGAUAACGUUAGCUGGAUAUUACUAGCUAGAUCAUAUGAUCAUGGUCACAAUUUGACUCCAGUAGUGGACAGACACCUAUCUGAGACCACCCACAUCUGUGAACUGGCUUGACAUUUGAGAAGUUUUGUUCUCAUGCAUGGAAAACAUCCGCAGCAGCGCCAGUGCAUGCAUGUGUGUGUGAGAAACAGUGCCCAGCCCACGCCCAUCCUGAACAGUACAGUAUACUCACUGGUGCUGGAGAUAUGGGUGCAUCCGGUGGUGGUGGGUGGAGGUGAAUCAGAGUCCACUGAGGCGGUGUCCUCAUCCUGGGAGCAGCCAGCCUGGAUGGCCCGCAGGUAGCUGUGGCUGCGGGAGCGGAAGUACGUCGGUGUGGGCAGGUCCAGAGCCUCCACCGCCUGGGACUCCGCCUCGCAGUACAGCGAGCGCCCACAGCCCUGCCCACACACCUGAAAGGACACGUGCAGGUUGACAAGUUGGGGGCGGGGACUUAGGCGACCACUAGAUCUCCGCCGCCUGUGAGGAGAAAGCAGUGCCAGUCUCGGGUGGCGGGGCAUGCUGCUGGAGUAAGGUGGUGGUGUAUGGUCAGAGAGUGUGAAGGAUCCUGUUCGUCUCAGCUCACGAGAGCCCAAUCAAAAGGACUGUUAGAUUUACCAAAGAAACUCAUGCACUGAUAAUGAACAUUUUUACUAUCUCUAGAGGAAAAUGGGUACAGGAGUUAUCAUGCACGUUCACGAUUUUACUUAAUGAAAUCAAUUGAUCAAAAAGUAAAUCUGCAGUGACCUUGUUGAAAACAUCUCAUUAUUUAAAUAUUCUGUUUGAGCUUUGCGUCCCCUGAUAAUCAGUAUACUCACUGUACUGUAUCUAAUGUGAAAUAGCACACGGCAUGUUUAAUCAGUGAUGAUAAGCCAGCAGCGUCAGAUUUCACUUAACUCCUCAUGCCAGGAGCUAAUACAAUCACUGCUACUGAGGCACCAGCAGCCUCCCACUACAAGCUGUUCACUCUCUCCACAUCAUAGUCGUAGUGGUAGGGGUGGUGUCUGGUUUUGCUCAGUUCAGCGGUGCUAAUGAUCUACAAGACGUUUAUUGGUGUAGGACAUUUCCAGUCUCUGGCGUUGACAACAUGACAUGUUCACAUAACAACAGAUUCAUCAGCAGGAAUAUAUCAUAGUACAUCUAUGUAGCCCAGGGCCAGGGAUAGGUUGAACAGGGACAAGGUAUUGUAGAGACAGACCAGCUGAGUCAACUUCCCCAGUCCGUCCUGGGAUAAAGGCUUGUUUCAGUUCAAACAGUGCCAGAGUGGAGAAGGAGGAACACUGAUAGCUUAUUACACCCCAGUCUUCUAUGCCAGGCUCCUGUGAUGUUCAACGUUGUAAUGAUGUUGGUAGCAGGUGGAGUCUCUAUUUGUUCAUCCUGCUUUUCAUUGCAGUGUGAGAGGAGGAGGCUGGUGCCAGAGUUGGCACAUGGUCAUCAUUGUGUCCCCCAAGAAAGAAAGAGGAUGUAACAUGGAUGCUCAGUAUUCAAAAUCCAUUCUGAAACUUCAUGUAAAUCAAAUGAUGAAACUUCACGCCAUUCCAUGAUUUUUACAAUAAGAGCCUAUUCCUUGGUUGCUGCUUAUCCGUUAUUUGAUCUGUUUGAAUCUUGCAA